rnacentral:rRNA from 1 species
UAGAGUUUGAUCCUGGCUCAGGAUGAACGCUGGCAGUGUGCCUUAGACAUGCAAGUCGGACGGGGCGCUUCUCUUUGAUCCUUUCGGGGUGAUUUGGGUUGUUGCCUAGUGGCGUACGGGUGAGUAACACGUGGGUGACCUGCCCUUAAGUGGGGGAUAACUCUGGGAAACUGGGGCUAAUCCCGCAUGUGCUGCAUCUUUCGUUGGGUGUAGUAAAGGAACUUGUUCCGCUUGGGGAUGGGCCCGCGGCCUAUCAGCUUGUUGGUGUGGUAAUGGCGCACCAAGGCUUUGACAGGUAGCCGGCCUGAGAGGGUGUUCGGCCACAGGGGCACUGAUAUACGGGCCCACUCCUACCGGAGGCAGCAGUUAGGAAUUUC